rnacentral:tRNA from 1 species
GUUGAGGUGGCAGAGCCUGGUGAUUGCUAUAGACCUAAGCUCUAUCCAUGGGGGUUCAACUCCCCCCCUCAACU